rnacentral:lncRNA from 1 species
AUGUUUAUUAAAAAGAGUUUAGAGAUAAUUAUGAAUGAAUACCAGGGCAAGGAAAAUAUGGGAAUAUAUGUGUUUUUUAGUUUUAUGACUAAUCAGUAUAAAUGAAAACAAGUUGAAGAGGAAUACAGUGUCAUCACAUCAUUGCCUGUGGCCUAUGUCUAAAGAUUUGGAUUAAUACUGCUGGGUUGAAUUAGUUGCAGAGGUGUUGAUGUACUCAAUUGUAUAGGGAGUUCAUAACACUAAGGCUAUCUAGAGUCUGAACUAACAGAUGGUUAACAGAGUUAGUUUGAGGGGAGGUUACUGUAUUUUUGAAACUAG